AGACCAGACUCCACGGGAGGCAGCAGUGGGGGAUAUUGCACAAUGGGGGAAACCCUGAUGCAGCGACGCCGCGUGGGUGAAGAAGCGCCUCGGCGCGUAAAGCCCUAUCAGCAGGGAAGAAGAAAUGACGGUACCUGAGUAAGAGGCACCGGCUAAAUACGUGCCAGCAGCCGCGGUAAUACGUAUGGUGCAAGCGUUAUCCGGAUUUACUGGGUGUAAAGGGAGCGCAGGCGGCACGGCAAGCCUGAUGUGAAAGCCCGCGGCCCAACCGCGGGACUGCAUUGGGAACUACCGGGCUGGAGUGCCGGAGAGGUAGGCGGAAUUCCUAGUGUAGCGGUGAAAUGCGUAGAUAUCAGGAGGAACACCGGCGGCGAAGGCGGCCUGCUGGACCGCGACUGACGUUGAGGCUCGAAAGCGUGGGGAGCGAACAGGAUUAGAUACCCCAGUA
rnacentral:rRNA from 1 species